GCGUAAGCGCACGCAGGCGGUCUGUCAAGUCGGAUGUGAAAUCCCCGGGCUCAACCUGGGAACUGCAUUCGAAACUGGCAGGCUGGAGUCUUGUAGAGGGGGGUAGAAUUCCAGGUGUAGCGGUGAAAUGCGUAGAGAUCUGGAGGAAUACCGGUGGCGAAGGCGGCCCCCUGGACAAAGACUGACGCUCAGGUGCGAAAGCGUGGGGAGCAAACAGGAUUAAAUACCCUGGUAGUCCACGCCGUAAACGAUGUCGAUUUGGAGGUUGUGCCCUUGAGGCCCGCCUUCCGGAGCUAACGCGUUAAAUCCACCGCCCG
rnacentral:rRNA from 1 species